rnacentral:rRNA from 1 species
UACGUAGGGACCGAGCGUUGUCCGGAAUCAUUGGGCGUAAAGAGCGUGUAGGCGGCUUGUUAAGUCUUGCGUGAAAUCUCGGGGCUCAACCCCGAGCGGUCGUGAGAAACUGGCAGGCUAGAGUGCGGGAGAGGAGAGUGGAAUUCCCGGUGUAGUGGUGAAAUGCGUAGAUAUCGGGAGGAACACCAGUGGCGAAGGCGGCUUCCUGGCCUGUUCUUGACGCUGAGGCGCGAAAGCUAGGGGAGCAAACGGG